rnacentral:rRNA from 1 species
CAGCAGCCACGGUAUACGAAGGGGGCUAGCGUUGUUCGGAAUUACUGGGCGUAAAGCGCACGUAGGCGGAUAUUUAAGUCAGGGGUGAAAUCCCAGAGCUCAACUCUGGAACUACCUUUGAUACUGGGUAUCUUGAGUAUGGAAGAGGUGAGUGGAAUUCCGAGUGUAGAGGUGAAAUUCGUAGAUAUUCGGAGGAACACCAGUGGCGAAGGCGGCUCACUGGUCCAUUACUGACGCUGAGGUGCGAAAGCGUGGGGAGCAAACAGGAUUAGAUACCCCUGUAGUCCCUGUCUCUUAUACA